rnacentral:rRNA from 1 species
GAUGAACGCUGGCGGCGUGCUUAACACAUGCAAGUCGAACGGUAAAGCUUAACAUAUUUCUUCUGCUUGAACUUCAUUCGCUUAGUUACCGCCGGGUUAAUCACGCCUGAAUAAUCUGACUUCUUCAAGGAGCUAGCCCUUAUACCCGACGAGUACUACCCUAUCACAUCGAGUAAUCGCAUGUUUCUUUGGUAAAAGAUUUAUCGGGAUAAUAUGGACUCGCUUCUGAUUAGCUAGUUGGUAGAGUAAAAGCCUACCAAGGCAACGAUCAGUAGCCGGCUUGAGAGAGGGUACGGCCAGAAUGGGAAUGAGACACGGCCCAGAAUCCGACGGGAGGCAGCAGUGGGGAAUUUUGCACAAGGGGGGAAACCCUGAUGCAGCGACGCCGCGUGAUUUAGAAGGCCUUCGGGUUGUAAAAAUCUUUUGUAUGGGAAGAAAAUGACAGUACCAGACGAAUAAGGACCGGCUAAUUACGUG